rnacentral:rRNA from 1 species
UACGUAGGGUGCAAGCGUUAAUCGGAAUUACUGGGCGUAAAGCGUGCGCAGGCGGUUAUGCAAGACCGAGGUGAAAUCCCCGGGCUCAACCUGGGAACUGCCUUUGUGACUGCAUAGCUAGAGUACGGUAGAGGGGGAUGGAAUUCCGCGUGUAGCAGUGAAAUGCGUAGAUAUCUGGAGGAAUACCGGUGGCGAAGGCGGCAUCCUGGACCGACAUUGACGCUGAGGAGCGAAAGCUAGGGGAGCAAACGGG